UUGCGCAAUGCCCGCAAGGGUGACGCAGCGACGCCGCGUGGGUGAAGAAGCACUACGGUGUGUAAAGCCCUGUCAGAGGGGACGAACGGUUUGGAUUCGCAAGGGUUCAGGAUUGACGGUACCCUCAGAGGAAGCUCCGGCUAACUCCGUGCCAGCAGCCGCGGUAAUACGGAGGGUGCAAGCGUUACUCGGAAUCACUGGGCGUAAAGGACGCGUAGGCGGGUUGGAAAGUCAGGUGUGAAAUCCUACAGCUUAACUGUAGAACUGCACUUGAAACUUCUAAUCUAGAGUGUGGGAGGGGGAGAUGGAAUUAGUGGUGUAGGGGUAAAAUUCGUAGAUAUCACUAGGAAUACCUAAAGCGAAGGCGAUCUCCUGGAACAUUACUGACGCUAAGGCGUGAAAGCGUGGGGAGCAAACAGGAUUAGAUACCCGCGUAGUC
rnacentral:rRNA from 1 species